rnacentral:rRNA from 1 species
UACGGAGGGGGCUAGCGUUGUUCGGAAUUACUGGGCGUAAAGCGCACGUAGGCGGCUUUGUAAGUUAGAGGUGAAAGCCCGGGGCUCAACCCCGGAAUUGCCUUUAAGACUGCAUCGCUAGAAUUGUGGAGAGGUAAGUGGAAUUCCGAGUGUAGAGGUGAAAUUCGUAGAUAUUGGGAGGAACCCCAGUGGCGAAGGCGGCUCGCUGGACCGGUUCUGACGCUGAUGCGCGAAAGCGUGGGGAGCAAACGGG